rnacentral:lncRNA from 1 species
CCAAAAUCGGAACCCCCCCAAAAUAGAGACCCUAAAGGGGGAUCCUAAAUGGAACCCCAUAGCGGGACCCUAACAGGGAAUGUGUGGAAGCAGAGCAGCGGCCAGGAGCUGAGGGUGAAAUUAACGCCUUUAUUAAUUAGUGCUUAAUGAAGGCAGCAGCGGGCGGCGGCGCAACGCAGCGCAGCGGGACGGCGGCUCCUUAAUGGCGUUCAGCCAAAGGAGAGGAUUCACUGCAGUGGGGCACAGCUAUGGGGCAGAGCUAUGGGGCAGAGCUAUGGGGCAAGCUAUGGGGCAGAGCUAUGGGGCAAUCUAUGGGGCAGAGCUAUGGGGCAAUGUAUGAGACAACUUAUGGGGCAGAGCUAUGGGGCAAUCUAUGGGGAAGAGCUACAGGGCAGAGCUAUAGGGCAGAGCUAUGGGGCACUGCUACAGGGCAGUCUAUGGGGCAAUCUAUGGGGCAGAGCUAUACGUUAAUCUAUGAGACAACUUAUGGGGCAGAGCUAUGGGGCAGCCUAUGGGGCAGUCUAUGGGGCAAUCUAUGGGUUAGAGCUAUAGGGCAGAGCUAUGGGGCAAUCUAUGGGGCAGAGCUAUGAGAAAACUUAUGGGGCAGAGCUAUGGGGCACUCUAGGGGGCAAUAUCUAGGGCAGAGAUAAGGGGCAGAGCUAUGGGGCAAUCUAUGGGGCAGAGCUAUGAGGCAAUUCAUGGGGCUGUAUCUAUGGGGCAGAGCUAUAGGGCAAUAUAUGGGGUGGAGCUAUAGGGCUGUAUAGUUCCAUUGCACCACCCCAUCCAUGUCUGACCCCAUACGGACCCCACAGCUCCGCCCCAUUCAUGUCUGACCCCAUACAGACCCCACAGCUCCGCCCCAUUCCUGUCUGACCCCAUACGCAGCCCCACAGCUGCAGCGCCGCUCCCCGCGGCAGACUUUUAUAGAGAGGCGGUCGUGACGUCAUCACAGCACAGCCAAUGGGCGCGUUCCAGGAGAGUCUCACUGCUCUGCUAUUGGUGGAUCUUCACAAAGCCCCGCCCCCCCCGUCCGCCCGCAGAGCCAGCGCGCCGCCGUGGGCGGGCGGAGAGUGACGGGCGGACGGGGACAGCGGAGGACUGACGACGGACGACGGCCGGACGACGGCCGGACGCAGG